rnacentral:lncRNA from 1 species
CCGAGUCCCGGUGCCUGCAGCCGAGUCCCGGUCCCUGCAGCCGAGUCCCGGUCCUUGCAGCCGAAUCCCGGUGCCGCACCGAGUCCCGGUCCUUGCAGCCGAGUCCCGGUCCUUGCAGCCGAGUCCCGGUGCCGCACAGCGUCCGUCGGGCCCAGCCGCGGGCCCGCCCGGCUGACGCUGCCCGGGGCGGCCGCUGGUGCCCUCGGGCCCGGCUCCGACGGUUCGGCGGUCCCGGGCAGUGCGAGGCGGCGGCGGGGCCGCCGUGAGGGCUGGGCCGGAGUCCGCGCCCUGCCCGUGGGCCCCGGCUUCCCGCACCCGCCGCCGGCUCCUCCUUGUCGCAGCGGAGGGCGGGGAGGGCUCGCUGUCCGCUCCCCUCCGUGCCCCGCACAGCAGCUGAGGGCUUCCUCCGCCUGCCUCUGCCCCUCAGGGCUGUGGGAGGGUCCCGCCCGGCCCGCGGGCUCCCGCAGAGCGGCUGGCUCAGUGUUGCAGCUUUCUGCCCUCCUUGUGAUGGCUGCCGCCUCUGGGGCUGCAAACUCUGAGGGGAAAGAGCUUCCUCAUGAGACAGAAACUAUGAUCUGGAAGCCCAGAAAAGAAUGUUUUCUGCAGAAUAUUCCAAAUCUUCCUGAUGGGCAGCAAGAUGCAUCUGAGCAUGAGGUGGAGGACUGGGAUAAAGAAUUGGAGGAGUCUACAUGUGGUCCUUACGAUGCUGAUGAUCUCUCCUGUGGAAGCUUUGAGGAAAAUAAUCUUUUCGGCUCAUAUGUCUGGAAGGAGGAUUGGUUUUACAACCCAGGCUGUCACCACACACCUUGCUUUGUUUUUCCACCACGAGUUAGAACAGUUGAGAAGGGCCAGUUUGAUGAUGCUGAUGAAUGAGGCCGAGUCUGGUCAGAAAUAAGUUUGGCUUCUGUGUUGGAUUAUGUUCUUCAGCGACUGAGCUGUGCCAAGUCCCUUGGCUUUUUUGCAGAGUUGGGCUGAGGCCAGAAAUGUGACACCAUCUUCAGAGUUUUGCUUUGGCUGUUUCUGAGCUGUUCAUAAACUGCCCACCCUUGCCCUGGAGACAAGAGUGCAGGGUGUAAGGAGUCAGUGCAUUUUUGGAGGUUUUGUUUGUAUAUGUAGAUCUAUAUUGCUAAUUAAUUGCUUAAGGAGAAGUAUUUAAUUUCUAAACUUCAGCUUGUUUGCCAGGCUUCUGUCAGUUUUGAUAUGCUGAUCUCUGUGUUUUGUGCAGCUUUUAGUUUUCUUUCCUUUUCAUUUGAUGCUGUCAGAUUGGUUUAGAUAGCUGUAAAAACUCUCCCUCCUUCAAGCUUAUAUGUUGUAUUUCCAUAUGGUUCUAAAGUCCAUUUGUGAUUCUUAUACUGGUGUUUAACAAAAUCACCUGUGGCGAAUACAGAACAAGUUGUUUUGUGUUUAUGUACUUCAGCAGAAAGGAAUUACAAAUACAUGAUACACGUUUUGCAAAUACAUGUGCUGAUUUAUAGGGGGGCAUACUCCAUCCACUAGGAAUGCUGGGUGCUUAAGCUUGCCUCCCAACAAAGCUUUCUCCACAUCAGACCUCCUUGUGUAUGGGCAUAUUCCCACAGUUGUCUUUGUUACAUUCUCAUGCAACAUCAGAUAUGCAAUGACAAAGAAAAUAUCUCUGCUUUUAUAUAUAUAUAUAUAUAUGUAUAUAUAUAUAUUUCAGUAUCUCAACUCAGUGUCCUGCAGGCUAGUGAAUUAAGGUUCCUGAUGUUGUUCUGCUGUUUGUGUUGUGGCAAAUGAGGAGAUGGGAACACAAAACACCUCCACAGAGUCCCUAAGAAAAUAGAUAGAACUAGAGCCAUAUCCUUGUCACCUUUGCUCUGGAGUUAAAGGAAGUGUUCUCAAAUGAAGUAUAUAAGUGGAUUGAGUGGCUGGUCACCUGAGUAACAAUAACUUUUGACGUGCUCAUGUUUCAUUCAACACUUUCAUCUCAAAAACAUUUUCAUGGCAGUGUGUUUAGACAUUCACUGAACUGAAGCAUUGUACAGUGUUUUUUUUUGUUUGUUUGUUUUUUUCUUUAAAUCAUCCAGUGUAUGAGAUCAAUAUAACUAAUGCACUAGUUUAGAAGGAAGAAGUGAACAACGCAGUGAUAUUUCCUUAAUAUCUUCCUACAGAGUACAGGAGAACAAGAGCUUGUGAGACAAGAGCUUUUCUUUGGGUACCUUUCAAUUCCUGGUUAUAUUUUGGUACCUAGCAGUCAAAGCAGAGUGGAAGCAUAGUGUUGAGAUUGCAAAAAAAGAGGGCCUGGUCUUUUAUUCCCAAAUGAUGGAGUGAUCUAGGGAUUAAUAUUUCCAUCAAAACUUCCUCAGUUAUGCCAAUAACUGUCUCAUCAUCUCAAGUGAAAAAGCUUAUUUGCAAUUAUAAGUGCAGUAUUCAUAACGAUAAAUUGAGUGCAGAUUACUGUUCAAGUAACUAUACACCAGUAAAUUGUAAAAAUUCCUCUGAAAACUCCCUGGUUCUUUUGUGAGCCUGUUUAUUCUGUGCAGGCCUGGCUGUGGAUGACAAGCCCAAGGCUUCCCUGCAGAGGGCAGCAAAAAAUUGUCUGCCCUGCUCGGUGUGCGCUCAGCAGUGCGAGCUCCCCGGGCUGGAUUUCUAACGCUGAUAGCAAUUUAGAUCAGAGUUCUGCAUAGCCCUGUUGUUCCCCAGUGAGGCUGAUUCAUGGCCCUGAUUAGUUUCUCAUUUUUUUUUAUUUCACUCUGAAGUUAUACUUACUGGACUGAAAAAUUUCUCCCAUGGCUGAGUGAAGAACAUCACUUGACUUCAGGCUUAAUAUAUUUUUUUUUACUAUGCUUGUGGGAGAUAUCCCACCGUAUUCAAUAAAGAUGAAACUAAUAGAAUUCUGUGGAAGCA